GAGGAAAAGAAACCAACAGGGAUUGCCUCAGUAACGGCGAGUGAAGCGGCAAAAGCUCAAAUUUGAAAUCUAGCACCUUCGGUGUUCGAGUUGUAAUUUGAAGAUGGUAACCUUGGGUUUGGCUCUUGUCUAUGUUCCUUGGAACAGGACGUCAUAGAGGGUGAGAAUCCCGUCUGAUGAGAUGCCCAUUCCUAUGUAAGGUGCUAUCGAAGAGUCGAGUUGUUUGGGAAUGCAGCUCUAAGUGGGUGGUAAAUUCCAUCUAAAGCUAAAUAUUGGCGAGAGACCGAUAGCGAACAAGUACAGUGAUGGAAAGAUGAAAAGAACUUUGAAAAGAGAGUGAAAAAGUACGUGAAAUUGUUGAAAGGGAAGGGCAUUAGAUCAGACUUGGUGUUUUACGAUUAUCUUCUCUUCUUGAGUUGUGCACUCGUAUUUCACUGGGCCAGCAUCGAUUCGGAUGGCAAGAUAAUGGCAGUUGAAUGUGGCUUCACUUCGGUGGAGUGUUAUAGCUUCUGCUGAUAUUGCCUGUCUGGAUCGAGGGCUGCGUCUUUUGACUAGGAUGCUGGCGUAAUGAUCUAAUGCCGCCCGUC
rnacentral:rRNA from 1 species